CGAGCCUCGACUCACCACUGCU
rnacentral:miRNA from 1 species